rnacentral:rRNA from 1 species
GAUGAACGCUGGCGGCGUGCCUAAUACAUGCAAGUCGAGCGAACAGACGAGGAGCUUGCUCCUCUGACGUUAGCGGCGGACGGGUGAGUAACACGUGGAUAACCUACCUAUAAGACUGGGAUAACUUCGGGAAACCGGAGCUAAUACCGGAUAAUAUAUUGAACCGCAUGGUUCAAUAGUGAAAGACGGUUUUGCUGUCACUUAUAGAUGGAUCCGCGCCGCAUUAGCUAGUUGGUAAGGUAACGGCUUACCAAGGCAACGAUGCGUAGCCGACCUGAGAGGGGGAUCGGCCACACUGGAACGGAGACACGGUCAAGACUCCUACGGGAGGCAGCAGUAGGGAAUCUUCCGAAAUGGGCGAAAGCCUGACGGAGCAACGCCGCGUGAGUGAUGAAGGUCUUCGGAUCGUAAAACUCUGUUAUUAGGGAAGAACAAAUGUGUAAGUAACUAUGCACGUCUUGACGGUACCUAAUCAGAAAGCCACGGCUAACUACGUG